GGAGGGUAUAGCUCAGUGGUAGAGCAUGUGCUUAGCAUGCACGAGGUCCUGGGUUCAAUCCCCAGUACCUCCA
rnacentral:tRNA from 1 species